rnacentral:rRNA from 1 species
GAUGAACGCUGGCGGCGUGCCUAAUACAUGCAAGUCGAGCGAACGGACGAGAAGCUUGCUUCUCUGAUGUUAGCGGCGGACGGGUGAGUAACACGUGGAUAACCUACCUAUAAGACUGGGAUAACUUCGGGAAACCGGAGCUAAUACCGGAUAAUAUUUUGAACCGCAUGGUUCAAAAGUGAAAGACGGUCUUGCUGUCACUUAUAGAUGGAUCCGCGCUGCAUUAGCUAGUUGGUAAGGUAACGGCUUACCAAGGCAACGAUGCAUAGCCGACCUGAGAGGGUGAUCGGCCACACUGGAACUGAGACACGGUCCGGACUCCUACGGGAGGCAGCAGUAGGGAAUCUUCCGCAAUGGGCGAAAGCCUGACGGAGCAACGCCGCGUGAGUGAUGAAGGUCUUCGGAUCGUAAAACUCUGUUAUUAGGGAAGAACAUAUGUGUAAGUAACUGUGCACAUCUUGACGGUACCUAAUCAGAAAGCCACGGCUAACUACGUGCCAGCAGCCGCGGUAAUACGUAGGUGGCAAGCGUUAUCCGGAAUUAUUGGGCGUAAAGCGCGCGUAGGCGGUUUUUUAAGUCUGAUGUGAAAGCCCACGGCUCAACCGUGGAGGGUCAUUGGAAACUGGAAAACUUGAGUGCAGAAGGGGAAAGUGGAAUUCCAUGUGUAGCGGUGAAAUGCGCAGAGAUAUGGAGGAACACCAGUGGCGAAGGCGACUUUCUGGUCUGUAACUGACGCUGAUGUGCGAAAGCGUGGGGAUCAAACAGGAUUAGAUACCCUGGUAGUCCACGCCGUAAACGAUGAGUGCUAAGUGUUAGGGGGUUUCCGCCCCUUAGUGCUGCAGCUAACGCAUUAAGCACUCCGCCUGGGGAGUACGACCGCAAGGUUGAAACUCAAAGGAAUUGACGGGGACCCGCACAAGCGGUGGAGCAUGUGGUUUAAUUCGAAGCAACGCGAAGAACCUUACCAAAUCUUGACAUCCUUUGACAACUCUAGAGAUAGAGCCUUCCCCUUCGGGGGGGGCAAAGUGACAGGUGGUGCAUGGUUGUCGUCAGCUCGUGUCGUGAGAUGUUGGGUUAAGUCCCGCAACGAGCGCAACCCUUAAGCUUAGUUGCCAUCAUUAAGUUAGGCACUCUAAGUUGACUGCCGGUGACAAACCGGAGGAAGGUGGGGAUGACGUCAAAUCAUCAUGCCCCUUAUGAUUUGGGCUACACACGUGCUACAAUGGACAAUACAAAGGGCAGCGAAACCGCGAGGUCAAGCAAAUCCCAUAAAGUUGUUCUCAGUUCGGAUUGUAGUCUGCAACUCGACUACAUGAAGCUGGAAUCGCUAGUAAUCGUAGAUCAGCAUGCUACGGUGAAUACGUUCCCGGGUCU